rnacentral:rRNA from 1 species
AUUGAACGCUGGCGGCAGGCUUAACACAUGCAAGUCGCGCGAGCGGCGGACGGGUGAGUAAUGUCUGGGAAACUGCCUGAUGGAGGGGGAUAACUACUGGAAACGGUAGCUAAUACCGCAUACCCUCAGAUGUGCCCAGAUGGGAUUAGCUAGUAGGUGGGGUAAUGGCUCACCUGGGCGGCGAUACCUAGCUGGUCGGAGGGGGUGACGAGACACACUGGAGCGGUGACUCGGGCGAGAAUCCGACGGGAGGCAGCAGUGAGGAAGAUUGCACAAUGGGCGCAAGCCUGAUGCAGCCAUGCCGCGUGUAUGAAGAAGGCGUUCGGGUUGUAAAGUAAUUUCAACGGGGAGGCGUUACCCGCAGAAGAGGCGCCGGCUGACUCCGUGCCAGCAGCCGCGGUAAUAC